GCUGUUUUAGCUCAGUCGGUAGAGCACUUCCUUGGUAAGGAAGAGGUCGGCGGUUCAAGUCCGCUAAACAGCUCCA
rnacentral:tRNA from 1 species